rnacentral:piRNA from 1 species
UUACAUAGGCUAUGUAAGGAAACUCAAUA